CCACUCCUGUUAGUGGUGUUCUGUUC
rnacentral:piRNA from 1 species